AGGAAUAUUGGUCAAUGGACGAGAGUCUGAACCAGCCAAGUCGCGUGAGGGAAGACUGCCCUAUGGGUUGUAAACCUCUUUUAUAAGGGAAGAAUAAGUUCUACGUGUAGAAUGAUGCCUGUACCUUAUGAAUAAGCAUCGGCUAACUCCGUGCCAGCAGCCGCGGUAAUACGGAGGAUGCGAGCGUUAUCCGGAUUUAUUGGGUUUAAAGGGAGCGUAGGCGGACGCUUAAGUCAGUUGUGAAAGUUUGCGGCUCAACCGUAAAAUUGCAGUUGAUACUGGGUGUCUUGAGUACAGUAGAGGCAGGCGGAAUUCGUGGUGUAGCGGUGAAAUGCUUAGAUAUCACGAAGAACUCCGAUUGCGAAGGCAGCUUGCUGGACUGUAACUGACGCUGAUGCUCGAAAGUGUGGGUAUCAAACAGGAUUAGAUACCCUGGUAGUCCACACAGUAAACGAUGAAUACUCGCUGUUUGCGAUAUACAGUAAGCGGCCAAGCGAAAGCGUUAAGUAUUCCACCUGGGGAGUACGCCGGCAACGGUGAAACUCAAAGGAAUUGACGGGGGCCCGCACAAGCGGAGGAACAUGUGGUUUAAUUCGAUGAUACGCGAGGAACCUUACCCGGGCUUGAAUUGCAACUGAAUGAUGUGGAGACAUGUCAGCCGCAAGGCAGUUGUGAAGGUGCUGCAUGGUUGUCGUCAGCUCGUGCCGUGAGGUGUCGGCUUAAGUGCCAUAACGAGCGCAACCCUUAUCGAUAGUUACCAUCAGGUUAUGCUGGGGACUCUGUCGAGACUGCCGUCGUAAGAUGUGAGGAAGGUGGGGAUGACGUCAAAUCAGCACGGCCCUUACGUCCGGGGCUACACACGUGUUACAAUGGGGGGUACAGAAGGCAGCUACACGGCGACGUGAUGCUAAUCCCUAAAGCCUCUCUCAGUUCGGAUUGGAGUCUGCAACCCGACUCCAUGAAGCUGGAUUCGCUAGUAAUCGCGCAUCAGCCACGGCGCGGUGAAUACGUUCCCG
rnacentral:rRNA from 1 species